rnacentral:rRNA from 1 species
AUUGAACGCUGGCGGCAGGCCUAACACAUGCAAGUCGAGCGGAUGAUGGGAGCUUGCUCCUGGAUUCAGCGGCGGACGGGUGAGUAAUGCCUAGGAAUCUGCCUGGUAGUGGGGGACAACGUUUCGAAAGGAACGCUAAUACCGCAUACGUCCUACGGGAGAAAGCAGGGGACCUUCGGGCCUUGCGCUAUCAGAUGAGCCUAGGUCGGAUUAGCUUGUUGGUGAGGUAAUGGCUCACCAAGGCGACGAUCCGGAACUGGUCUGAGAGGAUGAUCAGUCACACUGGAACGGAGACACGGUCCAGACUCCUACGGGAGGCGGCAGUGGGGAAUAUUGGACAAUGGGCGAAAGACUGAUCCAGCCAUGCCGCGUGUGUGAAGAAGGUCUUCGGAUUGUAAAGCACUUUAAGUUGGGAGGAAGGGUUGUAGAUUAAUACUCUGCAAUUUUGACGUUACCGACAGAAUAAGCACCGGCUAACUCUGUGCCAGCCGCCGCCGCAGUA